rnacentral:rRNA from 1 species
UACGGAGGGUGCAAGCGUUAAUCGGAAUUACUGGGCGUAAAGCGCGCGUAGGCGGCUGGGUAAGUCAGAUGUGAAAGCCCCGGGCUCAACCUGGGAACUGCAUUUGAUACUGCCUGGCUAGAGUCUGUCAGAGGGUGGCGGAAUUCCGGGUGUAGCGGUGAAAUGCGUAGAUAUCCGGAGGAACACCGGUGGCGAAGGCGGCCAUCUGGGACGAGACUGACGCUGAGGUGCGAAAGCGUGGGGAGCAAACAGG